rnacentral:tRNA from 2 species
GGAGGGGUGGCAGAGCGGUUGAAUGCGGCGGUCUUGAAAACCGUUAGAGCGAAAACUCUCGUGGGUUCGAAUCCCACCCCCUCCGCCA